GUGAGAUGUUAGAGACUCUUGGGCAGAGAGGCAGGGUCUGCUGCUCCUUUAGGUGCUUCUUCUCUUUCAGCCAGAAACACACAGCGAUGGGACCAGAAACACAGCACAGUCCUGGCCUCAUUGCCGUCGACCACUCAGCUGGAAGGAAGAGCUGCCAAGGCUCUCCAGGACAGGUAAGAUGACCCCAACCCAAACCCACCAUGGUCUCACAGCGAGCAGGAAGGUGAUACGAUCGGGCCAGGACAGGAGUCACCGCUCCAUCAGGACAAUGGGACAAGGACAGUUGUGGUGAGACCUCGAGACCCUCAGGCACAGAGGCAGAGGCUGCCCCUGGUCACAGGGGGAUGCUGCUCUGUUCCUUCUCUUAUGAAAGCCAGACACACACAGCGAUGGGACGACUCCAUGGCACAAUCCCGGCUGAUGUCCCCUCGAGAACUCAGCUGGAAAAGAUGCCAACACUCUACAGGACAGGUAAGACAGCCCCAACGCAUUCCGCACCACGGUCUCACCUCGCUAGGUGGGAACGUGACACGCUUGAUCUACAAUGAACAUCUCCCGGGCAUCAGGAAGAUGCGAGAUGGACAGCACUGUUGUGAGGCUGGGAGAGCCUCGAGGAAGGAAGGGAGGGCUUCCAGUGCUGGCAGGGGGUGGCUGCUGGGUUUGUCGCCUCCUCUAUUACAGCUGGACACACUGACAGUGAUGAAAUGCAGCCACGGCACACACCUGGACUCUCUCCACCUGACAACUCAGCUCGACAAGGUGUCAAUGCUCUCCAGGACAGCCAGAAACACACAGCGAUGGGACCAGAAACACAGCACAGUCCUGGCCUCAUUGCCGUCGACCACUCAGCUGGAAGGAAGAGCUGCCAAGGCUCUCCAGGACAGGUAAGAUGACCCCAACCCAAACCCACCACACUCUCACAGCGAGCAGGAAGGUGACACAAUUGGGCCAGGAUGGCAGUGACUGCUCCAUCAGGCCAACGGGACAUGUAUGGACGUGGUGAGACCUCGUGACCCUCGGGCACUGAGGCAGGGUCAGCCCGUGGUCACAGGGGGAUGCUGCUCUGUUUGUUCCUUCUCUUAUGAAAGCCAGACACACACAGCGAUGGGACCAGACCACAGCACACUCCUGGCAACUCUCCCUUUGAGAACUCAGCUGGAAAAGAUGCCAACACUCUACAGGACAGAUAAGCUAUGCCCAACCCAUUCCCCACC
rnacentral:lncRNA from 1 species